AGAGUUUGAUCCUGGCUCAGAACGUACGCUGGCGGCACGCCUUAUACAUGCAAGUCGAACGAAGUAGCAAUACUUAGUGGCAGACGGGUGAGUAACAUGUGGGUAUCUUCCCUUUGGUGAGGAAUAACACGAGGAAACUUGUGCUAAUACCUCAUAAGUCUUUACGGAGAAAGCUUUAUGCGCCAAUGGAUGAGCCCGCACUUGAUUAGUUUGUUGGUGGGGUAAUGGCCUACCAAGACUUUGAUCAAUAGCUGAUUUGAGAGGAUGAUCAGCCACAUUGGGACUGAGACACGGCCCAAACUCCUACGGGAGGCAGCAGUAAGGAAUCUUGCACAAUGGAGGAAACUCUGAUGCAGCGAUGCCGCGUGAGUGAAGAAGGCCUUUGGGUUGUAAAGCUCUUUCGUCGGGGAAGAAAAUGACUGUACCCGAAUAAGAAGGUCCGGCUAACUUCGUGCCAGCCGCCGCGGU
rnacentral:rRNA from 1 species